UACGGAGGGGGCAAGCGUUGUUCGGAAUCAUUGGGCGUAAAGAGUAUGUAGGCGGCUAUUUAAGUCAGGCGUGUAAGCCCACGGCUCAACCGUGGAACUGCGUUUGAAACUAUUUAGCUUGAGUACAGGAGAGGAAGGCGGAAUUCCCAGUGUAGCGGUGAAAUGCAUUGAUAUUGGGAAGAACACCGGUGGCGAAGGCGACUAACUGGGCCAUUUUUGACGCUGAGAUACGAAAGCGUGGGUAGCAAACAGG
rnacentral:rRNA from 1 species